CUUCAGAUCUUUCCAGGCUUCUUCGCAGGCCUGGCGGACACCAGCCGCUGCUGGGUGGGAAAGGCCUGUCACUCCCAGGCUGGAAUCGCUUUCCCAUUUUUACAGACCUCGAAGAUGAGAGGAGGCCGUCACCACAAUGGAUUCCGGCCCUGGGGUCUGAUGGAGACAUUGGUCCGCCCUUCGGUCAGACUCUUGGGGGCGUUAGGGGGGUGGGGGGGUCUCUGCUCUGCAACCCUUAGCUGAACCCCAUCCUCCACUUCUCUCCUCCCGUCUGGUCAGAGUGGGAAGAGGUUUGGAUUGGGAUCCCCCCUCCUGCACUUCCUGGCUGGGUAACCUGGACGAUGGGAUAACAGUCCCCCGAUUGCAAGGUCAGGGGAAGGACUGUGUCAGAAUAUAGGCCCUCAGUGCAGGACAGUUGCUCAUCCUAAGCCUCUCCUGCCUUUUGCUCUUCCAGUGGCUUUUCACCCAGAAGGAAGAUCCUCCCCUGCAGAACCUCUCCCCAGAACUAGGUCUUUGCAGGUGACGAGGUAAUCCCAGCCUCCCCUCCCCGCAGAUCAGCGUUUUUCGAAGUGACUUUCUCACCAGGCGGAGCAUUGAAAGUACCGAUCCCAGCGCACCCAGCCCUGCUGAAUCAGAAUCUCUGGGGGUGAGGCCCAGGAAUCGCCGUCUGAACAAGUCGCGGGCUGGAAACGGCUGCCCCAGAUUACAGGGCAGCUCCCUGCUUCGCUCUCGCUCCUCCGGCCCCGGGAACGUGCAGGGGGGCGGGAGGCAAGUCCCAUCAGCACUUUGAACUGGGGCUGCUUUUUAGUGACUCACCUCCCAGACUUCCUGCAACAGACAACUCUAAAUAGCUCGGUCCCACCCUCCAGCAGGGGAGACAUUCCGGUCGGGAAGGGCAGGAGGUUAGAAGGUGGGUGCCCCGCCAGGGCAGUCCAGGGAGACCCAAGGACAGGAGACGCUGGCUGCACAGCACAGGGGCGCACGAAUAGGACGUUUUGUUUACAGGCUUUUGUUAUUAAGGAAAUUGGUGUCAGUCAAGGUAAUUCUAGCUCAGAUGAGCAAUAAAUAUGCUCCCAGCUAA
rnacentral:lncRNA from 1 species